ensembl:snoRNA SNORA70 Small nucleolar RNA SNORA70
CUACAGCUUAUUAAGCUGCCCAGUCUCGCUGCAGUGCGGUUCUGGUGUGCAAUGGCUGCAGACAGUGACUCUGUGGUUGUGUAUGUGGCCAGCUGGGAGGUGCUGGCUGCUUUUAAGGGACCGCUGAGACAAAA